rnacentral:rRNA from 1 species
UCCAGACUCCUACGUGAGGCAGCAGUGGGGAAUAUUGCACAAUGGGGGAAACCCUGAUGCAGCGACGCCGCGUGAGCGAUGAAGUAUUUCGGUAUGUAAAGCUCUAUCAGCAGGGAAGAAAAUGACGGUACCUGACUAAGAAGCCUCGGCUAACUACGUGCCAGCAGCCGCGGUAAUACGUAGGGGGCAAGCGUUAUCCGGAUUUACUGGGUGUAAAGGGGGCGCAGACAGCAAUGCAAGCCAGGAGUGAAAGCCCGGGGCGCAACCCCGGGACUGCUCUUGGAACUGCAGGGCUGGAGUACAGGAGGGGGAGGCGGAAUUCCUAGUGUAGCGGUGAAAUGCGUAGAUAUUAGGAGGAACACCGGUGGCGAAGGCGGAUUGCUGGACAGUAACUGACGCUGAGGCGCGAAAGCGUGGGGAGCAAACAGGAUUAGAUGCCCCCGUAAC